CAUUAAUAUACUCAAAGCGGAUAAUGGAUGCCUUGGAUACUAGAGCCGAAGAAGGACGUCUAUGGCCACGAAAGUCGUCGGGGAGCUGCCAUACAGCUGUGAUCCGGCGGUGUCCGAAUGGGGAAACCCCUGCGUAAGCAGACCCCGCAAUUGCGGGGAGGGAACGCCUCGAACUGAAACAUCUAAGUAGGGGCUGGAAAAUAAAUCACAGAGAUUUCGUAAGUAGCGGCGAGCGAAAGCGAAACAGUCUAAACCCCGCAGCAAUGCGGGGGGUUGCGGGAAGUGUUGAGGGACAACAAAAGAUAACUGAAUUGCUUGGAAUCGUAGACCAAAGAGCGUGAUAGUCGCGUAAGUAAAAUCAAUUGUUGCCUGAUGCCAAUUUUCCCAAGUACCAUGGGGCACAUACCCUGUGGGAAUCCGGGGUGACCACACUCCAAGACUAAAUACUCUAGUAUACCGAUAGUGAACUAGUACCGUGAGGGAAAGGCGAAAAGAAGGGUGAAAAACCUAGUGAAAUAGAACCUGAAAUUGUCCGCUAACAAGCAGUGAGAGUCCUUCGGCCGCAAGGCUUGGGGAUGAUCGCGUGCCUAUUGAAGAAUGAUCCGGCGAGUUUUCGAUUACCACAAGUCUACGUCGACCAAGUCGAAGCAGGCGCAGCGAAAGCGAGUCUUAACAGGGCGAUUAGUGGUGAUUGGAAGACCCGAAACCUGGUGAGCUAAUCAUGAGCAGGGUGAGACCCGCCGAAAGGUGGGAGGAGGCCCGCACUCGUCAGAGUUACAAAUCUGUGAGAUGACUUGUGAUUAGGGGUAAUAUGCCAAUCGAACCAGGAGAUAGCUGGCUCUCCCCGAAAUAUAUAUAGGUAUAGCCUCAUGUGAUAAUUUACGAGAGGUAGAGCACUGGAUGGGUGUAGUAGCGCAAGCUAUUGCUCUCAAUCAAACUCCGAAUUCUUGUAAGGAACCCAUGGGAGUCAGAACGGCGCGGCUAAGCGCGUCGCUCUAAAGGGAAACAACCCAGAUUGUCGUCUAAGGUCUCUAAAUGAAUACUUAGUGUAAAACGAAGUCAAAUUUCUCAGACAACCAGGAGGUUGGCUCAGAAGCAGCCAUCCUUUAAAGAAAGCGUAACAGCUCACUGGUCGAUUUGGAAAUUUGGCUGAGAGAACUUUGAAGGUCACACCGUGAGGUGGACUGGAGUGAUCUCAAGUGAGAAUGCCGGAAUGAGUAGCGUAACCAAAGUGAGAAUCUUUGGCACCGAAAACCCAAGGUUUCCCUGGCUACAUUGUUUGUCCAGGGGUAAGUCGGCACCUAAGGCGAGGCCAUAGUAGGCGUAGCUGAUGGACGAGCCGUUGAUAUUCGGCUACAUGGUAAGUAUCGUUACCAGUUAGGGAUGUACGAGAAUGGAGAAACCAGAUGUUGUUGUGAUAUAUGACAUCUAAGCAAUAAGACAGUUGGUCUUGGAAAAUCCAGACCGGCGUUUAAUCGAGUUGUGACGGGGAGUUGGGGUCGCAAGGCUCUAACAACUUGGUGAUCUUCAAUCUUCAGGAAAAGAUCCGUGACGAGAUACUUAUUAUGCCGUACCGCAAACCGACACUGGUGGGUUGGUCGAGUAGACUAAGGUGAUCGAGAGAAGGUAGUUCAAGGAACUCGGCAAAAAAGCUGGACGUAAGCUAUGCAAGAUGUCCUACCUGGGGUUAAACUCAGGUUACAACAAAAGAUUAUUCCGCGACUGUUUAACUAAAACACAGGUCCGUGCAAACUCGAAAGAGAAAGUAUACGGGCUGAGACCUGCCCAGUGCUCGCAAGUCAAGGGGAUGGUUGAGAUUACAUCAAGACUUGAACUGAAGCCCGAGUGAACGGCAGCAGUAACUAUAACUGUUCGAUGGUAGCGAAGUUCCUUGUCGGGUAAGUUCCGACCCGCAUGAAAGGUAUAACGACGGAAUAACUGUCUUGAACUAUCACUCGGCGAAUUUGAAAUGGCUGUGAAGAUGCGGCCUACCUCUACUAGGACAAAAAGACCCUAUGGAGCUUUACUGUAACCAGGCGCUGUCUUGGAUAUUAAAAUAGUUUAGUGUAGGAGGGAGCCGCAAGGCAAACUUGAAACACCUCUCGUUUUGGUAUCUCAAGACUCACCCAUGUCAGCUGGAAACGCUGUCGGGGACAAGGUUUGGUGGGCAGUUUUACUGGGGAGGUACCCUGCUAAAAGGUAACGCAGGGGUACUAAGGUGCACUAAGCUCGGAUGGAAAUCGAGCAGGUCGUGUAACGGCAAAAGUGCGCUUGACUGUGAGAGCGUCGGCUCGAGCAGGUGGGAAACCAGGUCGUAGUGAUCCCCCGAUGCGUCGUGGGACGCGCGGGGCUUAACGGAUAAAAGCUACCCUAGGGAUAACAGGCUGAUCGCCGCCAAGAGUUCAUAACGCGGCGGUUUGGCACCUCGAUGUCGGCUCACUGCAUCCUGGGGGGGUAGUACCUCCCAAGGGUCCGGCUGUUCGCCGGUUAAAGCGGUACGCGAGCUGGGUUCAGAACGUCGUAAGACAGUUCGGUCUCUAUCCAGUAGGGGCGUUGGGAUUCUUGAGGGGGUCUGCUCUCAGUACGAGAGGACCAGAGUGGAGAUACCUCUGGUGUGCCGGUUGUGACGUCAGUUGCAUCGCCGGGUAGCUAAGUAUCUACGGGAUAACCGCUGAAAGCAUCUAAGUGGGAAGCCCUACCCAAGAUUAGGAAUCCAUGUUCUGCCGCAAGGCGGGACGAAAGACCCGGGGAAGACUACCCCGUAUAUAGGCUGGCGGUGUAAGGCACGCGAGUGUUUUAGCCUACCAGUACUAAAUGGUCAAUUAUAUUAACGUC
rnacentral:rRNA from 1 species